UGCCAGCCGCCGCGGUAAUACGGAGGGGGUCAGCGUUGUUCGGAAUUACUGGGCGUAAAGCGCACGUAGGCGGAUUAGAAAGUUAGAUGUGAAAUCCCAGGGCUCAACCUUGGAACUGCAUUUGAAACUGGUUAACUAGAGUUUUGUAGAGGGUGGUAGAAUUUCAGGUGUAGCGGUGAAAUGCGUAGAGAUCUGAAGGAAUAUCAGUGGCGAAGGCGGCCACCUGGACAAAGACUGACGCUGAGGCGCGAAGGCGUGGGGAGCAAACGGGAUUAGAUA
rnacentral:rRNA from 1 species